AUUGAACGCUGGCGGCAUGCCUUACACAUGCAAGUCGAACGGUAACAGGUCUUCGGAUGCUGACGAGUGGCGAACGGGUGAGUAAUACAUCGGAACGUGCCCGAUCGUGGGGGAUAACGAAGCGAAAGCUUUGCUAAUACCGCAUAAGAUCUACGGAUGAAAGCAGGGGACCGCAAGGCCUUGCGCGAACGGAGCGGCCGAUGGCAGAUUAGGUAGUUGGUGGGAUAAAAGCUUACCAAGCCGACGAUCUGUAGCUGGUCUGAGAGGACGACCAGCAGAACUGGGACUGAGACACGGCCCAGACUCCUACGGGAGGCAGCAGUGGGGAAUUUUGAACAAUGGGCGAAAGCCUGAUCCAGCCAUGCCGCGUGCAGGAUGAAGGCCUUCGGGUUGUAAACUGCUUUUGUACGGAACGAAAAGACUCUUUCUAAUAAAGAGGGUCCAUGACGGUACCGUAAGAAUAAGCACCGGCUAACUACGUGCCAGCCGCCGCCGUAA
rnacentral:rRNA from 1 species